rnacentral:lncRNA from 1 species
CUCGGCCACCAUCACAUAGCGCCCCGUUGGGAAGUACCCAGCGGGUAGCAGAAGUUUAGGGUAAUGAGUGGCCAGCUCUCUGACACAGGCUGGGCCCCAGGCCCCACGGUGGCGAGGUGGCUCAGGGGGACAGAGGGGCCUCAGAAAGGAGAUGUCUGGACUGCUGCUGCCAGGCGAAUACAGCCGAACAGAGGAGCCGAGAAACAGGAACAACUAGUUCAGAACAACCUCCUUUUGAGCUCCCAAGUCAGACACUAGAACCCAGAACCUCAGGCCUGUCUGGAGGGCGGGGUCCAUGCAGAAGCCACACAAGUCACUGGCUGUACCAGCUGGUUCCUCCGCCCUCUAUCUCCUCUCGGACUAAAGGGCCUGAGAAUAUCAGUCUUCUUUCCUCCUACACAGGGUUAAGCCAGAGCCCUAGGCAUGUCCUGGCCUGCUUCCCCACUUCCAACAAGGAGUGUCAUCAGUCACAAUGGCAGUAGUAGUGACAUUCCCCCCCAAAGCCCCACCCUGCACAAAAGCUCCUGGCAAUGCCAGCACCUAUGAGCAAAGGAGCUGAACAGUACACGUGGAGAGGGACCAUGGGGAUGGAGACAGGCCACAUCUCUAUACUAAUGGCUCCUUCAAGCACAGAGGUGGCCCUUGGGGACCAUUAUACCUCCAUCAGCAUCUGCCUUACCAUACCCGGGGCCUGUGGGAAAUGAAGAGCCGAGAAUGACUUUUUCCUUAGAGUCUUGGGGAGUGACAGUGAUGUCCUAUAUUAAGGCCAGAGCCAAUGAAAGCAGAAUAGGGUCUGGCCACUAGGCCUGGUUUUCCCAGUCAGUCGAGACAUAGAAGAACACGUUGUUCCUCGCUAUCUAUGCCAGGAGUCCGAGGGUGGCCCAGCUGGUGUCUGUUCAGACGCUUCGUCCUGGAGGUUACAGGUACUGAAAGCAAUGCCUGCCAGAGGCACGCAGCAUGGGGGUGGGGAGGUGGGGGGUGGACCUUGAAGCUCCUACUGUGUGUUCCGCCAGGGAAGAUAAGAAUUGCAGGGCAAGAACCAGCUGAUCUUCGAGUAUGGACGGGGACAUGGGGGAGCCUGUUGCUCCCCAAGCCGAGCCCGAGGCUCUGGGUAAAGAGCAGCUGGUCCCUCGAACCACUUCCUUCAGACACAGCCAGGAAAGCCACUCCAGGGCUGAGCUGGGACUGGAGGAAUGGAGGCUACAAGUCCCAACCUGACAGGAUUUGGGUCAGGACAAAGAAAAUGGUCCCACCUCGGGGCUCAGAAGCUCACCAGACCAGACACACUGAAGUCAUUUGGCUGGCUCUGGUUCUGAGGUGCCCCGCAGACUCAUCUCUGGGUCAGGUCUCAGUCACUAGGCUACAAGAAUGGUUCAGCACUCUUGACCAGUUGCAGACACUGACAGGACUGUAGAGGUACGAAUGGAUUUCAGUCUAAACACCCAUGCAUAUGCGGUCCUGAAUCCAUCAGUCAUUGACUAUCCAUAGCAACAGCCAUUCCCUAAAGAUGCUGAACGAGCAUCGCUGCAGAGCCUUGCGCUUACUGCACUUUUCCCCCUGAAGAUAGUAUUUGAGUUUGAAUAAACACUUGGAUUACUAUCAAGC